GUGCUGUGAUGAAUAUUUCUAACACAUCAUUCAGACAUGAUAUCGUGGUGAACUUUAACCCUGAGCACA